GACGAACGCUGGCGGCGUGCUUAACACAUGCAAGUCGAACGGUGAAGGGGUCUGCUUUUGUGGGCCCUGGAUGAGUGGCGAACGGGUGAGUAACACGUGAGUAACCUGCCCCCUUCUUCUGGAUAACCGCAUGAAAGUGUGGCUAAUACGGGAUAUUCUGGGUCUGUCGCAUGAUGGGUCUGGGAAAGAUGGCGCCUUUGGGGGUUUUUGGUGGGGGAUGGGCUCGCGGCCUAUCAGCUUGUUGGUGGGGUGAUGGCCUACCAAGGCGGUGACGGGUAGCCGGCCUGAGAGGGUGGACGGUCACACUGGGACUGAGACACGGCCCAGACUCCUACGGGAGGCAGCAGUGGGGAAUAUUGCACAAUGGGCGCAAGCCUGAUGCAGCGACGCCGCGUGAGGGAUGGAGGCCUUCGGGUUGUAAACCUCUUUCGCCAGUGAAGCAGGCCUGCUCCUUGUGGGUGGGUUGACGGUAGCUGGAUAAGAAGCGCCGGCUAACUACGUG
rnacentral:rRNA from 1 species